AACAUUGUACCCCAUUUCUCCUUCAGCUGCUGCUGUCUCAGGUCUGCCACCAGCUUUCCCUCAAUUGUGGAAUGACUGUUUGUACAUGUUGCCAUCUCUUGACGUCUGAACAAAAUCUGCUGUUCUCCUUUCAAUAUUUUUAAUGAGUGUCCUAUGACUAGUUUCACACAAUCAGUCCCAGAUGCUUCAGACACGUUGGAUCCUUAUGGGUCAGAGGGAAACCACACAGACUCCCAGAUCUGGAAUGAGAGUGCAGGAGAGAUGCAACAGAGGAAAAGGUCUUCACAAACCCCAGUUCCAGGAAGGAGAGAGUUUACUUGGAAGAGGAACCAGGGUUGACAGCUGCAUGGCUGUUCUCCAAAGAUCCUUUCAGAAACUUGAUUACACAGGACUGCUCUGCGUAGCAGAGAAGACCAAGAUUAGGAGAAGACAAAGAUGGCUUUGA
rnacentral:lncRNA from 1 species